rnacentral:rRNA from 1 species
AUUGAACGCUGGCGGCAUGCCUUACACAUGCAAGUCGAACGGCAGCAUGAUCUAGCUUGCUAGAUUGAUGGCGAGUGGCGAACGGGUGAGUAAUACAUCGGAACGUGCCCUGUAGUGGGGGAUAACUAGUCGAAAGAUUAGCUAAUACCGCAUACGACCUGAGGGUGAAAGUGGGGGACCGCAAGGCCUCAUGCUAUAGGAGCGGCCGAUGUCUGAUUAGCUAGUUGGUGAGGUAAAGGCUCACCAAGGCGACGAUCAGUAGCUGGUCUGAGAGGACGAUCAGCCACACUGUGACGGAGAAACGGCCCAGACUCCUACGGGAGGCAGCAGUGGGGAAUUUUGGACAAUGGGGGCAACCCCGAUCCAGCAAUGCCGCGUGUGUGAAGAAGGCCUUCGGGUUGUAAAGCACUUUUGUCCGGAAAGAAAUCGCACUUACUAAUAUUAGGUGUGGAUGACGGUACCGAAAGAAUAAGGACCGGCUAACUACGUGCCAGCCGCCGCCGUAACAC